rfam:Eubacterium sp. CAG:180 genomic scaffold, scf64
AACUGCGAUAGAGGUGCAGAAAUCAUCAGUAGCAUUUUGACAGACGCCGGACGUUGAUAACCGAUAUGUGAAAGGGAUUUUUGCCGAAAAAAGCAAUUGCUCCGGGCAAUGCUUUUUGGGCACAUUGUUAACAGCAAUGCGACUGUCAUCAUUUUGUUGUGAUGGAGAGCUAUCGACAUU